GCUGGGAUAGCUCAGCUGGUAGAGCACGAGGCUCUUAAUCUCAGGGCUGUGAGUUCGAGCCCCACACUGGGCA